GAGUUUGAUCCUGGCUCAGGAUGAACGCUGGCGGUCUGCUUAACGCAUGCAAGUCGAACGGAGUGCUUCGGCACUUAGUGGCGGACGGGUGAGUAACGCGUGAGAAUCUGCCCUUAGGACGGGGACAACAGCUGGAAACGGCUGCUAAUACCCGAUGUGCCGAGAGGUGAAACAUUUUAUGGCCUGAGGAUGAGCUCGCGUCUGAUUAGCUAGUUGGUGGGGUAAGAGCCUACCAAGGCGACGAUCAGUAGCUGGUCUGAGAGGAUGAUCAGCCACACUGGGACUGAGACACGGCCCAGACUCCUACGGGAGGCAGCAGUGGGGAAUUUUCCGCAAUGGGCGCAAGCCUGACGGAGCAAGACCGCGUGCGGGAGGACGGCCUAUUGGUUGUAAACCGCUUUUGAUAGGGAAGAAGUACUGACGGUACCUAUCGAAUCAGCAUCGGCUAACUCCGUGCCAGCAGCCGCGGUAAUACGGAGGAUGCAAGCGUUAUCCGGAAUUAUUGGGCGUAAAGCGUCCGCAGGUGGUUGUGUGUGUCUAUUGUCAAAGCAUCAUGCUUAACAUGAUAAAGGCAGUAGAAACUACACGACUAGAGUGCGUUCGGGGCAGAGGGAAUUCCUGGUGUAGCGGUGAAAUGCGUAGAGAUCAGGAAGAACACCGGUGGCGAAAGCGCUCUGCUAGGCCGCAACUGACACUGAGGGACGAAAGCUAGGGGAGCGAAUGGGAUUAGAUACCCCAGUAGUCCUAGCCGUAAACGAUGGAUACUAGGCGUUGAGAGUAUCGACCCUCUCAGUGCCGUAGCUAACGCGUUAAGUAUCCCGCCUGGGGAGUACGCACGCAAGUGUGAAACUCAAGGAAUUGACGGGGGCCGCACAGCG
rnacentral:rRNA from 1 species